GCAGAAGAUCCCUCCAAGUUUGAUCCCCAGCACCAAAAGGUUGAGUCAAAAUUCUGGGGGCUUAUGCAUUAUUGCUUUGGGGGAACCCAUUGCCCUCAAGUCACUGAGAAGGCCACCAUUCAAAAUAGUUCUGAAUCAGGAGUUCAUUUCAAGUGUGAGUGUAUGAUUGAUAUAUAUACACACACACACAAUAAAUAAAAUAUCACUUGUGCCAGGCACAGUGGUGCACGCCUGUAAUCCCAGUACUGGGAAGCUGAGGAAGGGGGAUCCUGAGUAAUUUAUAGAGGCUGCAAGCAACUUAUGGAGAUCCUAACCACAUCCCAGCCCUAUUUUGUAUUUUAUUUAGAGACAGGGUCUCACUGAGUUGUUUAAGCACCUCGUUUUUUAAUGACUCUCCAUCCUCCUGCCUCAGCCUCCCCAUCUGCUGGGAUUAUGGGCAUGGGCCACUGUACCUAGCUAGACCAGAUUUCUAAAUAAAAAAGAAAGAAAGAGCUAGAAUGUGGCUCUGUGGUUAAGGUGCCCCAGAGUUUAAUCCCUACUAUUAAGAAAAAAAAAAAGUUUCCAUUGUUCCUGCAUAGUUGGCUUUUUUUUUUUUUUUUUUAAUUGGGGAUUGAUCCCAGGGGUGCUUUGUGAGUGAGCUACAUUCCCAGCCCUUUUUUAAUUUUAUUUGUUAUGUUGAGACAGGGUCUCAAUAAAUUGCUGAGACUGUCCUCAAACCUGGGAACUUCCUGCCUCACCUUCCCAAGUCACUGGGAUUACAGAUGUACACCAUCACACCUGGCUCUCAUGGCACUUUUUUUUUGGUACUGAGGAUUGAACUCAGAGGUGCUUCACCAAUGAGCUACAUUCUUUUUGUUUUUUAUUUUGGGACAGAGUCUCAUUAAGUCUUUCUUUUUUGGGAGAAGGGGAUGUGAGAGAGUUCUGGGGAUUGAAUUUAGGAACACUCACCACUGAGUUACAUUACCAGCCCUAUUUUGUAUUUUAUUUAGAGACAGGGUCUCACUGAAUUGCUUAGCAUCUCGCUGUUGCUGAGGCUGGCUUUAAACUCGCAAUCCUCCUGGUCUCAGCCUUCAAGCUGCUGCUAUUACAGGGGUGCUCCACCGUGCCUGAUUUUGUUAAAUUUCUUAGAGUUGCAGAGGCUGGCCUUGCUAUCUGGAUCCUCAGCCAUUCCAUUUGCUGCCAUUACAGGCAUGCACUACCAUCCCAGGCCCUCAUACCACUUCUGGACCAUGCUCAGGACACAAAAAUAACUUGGGACUUUUUGUGAUGUGGUGUAAUUUACUGGGCUCAUGGUGAUUAUUGAUUCAUUUAUUUUCACCUGUCAUUCAGAAUAGGAAUGGUUUUAUACAGAACCCAGGAACAUAUUUAAAGAAUGAAGUAUGUGCCAGCAUGGUGGUGUACGCCUGUAAUCCCAGUGGCUCCGGAGGCUUAAACAGGAGAAUCACAAGUUCAAAGCCAGCCUCAGCAAUGGUGAGGCACUAAGCAACUAGGUGAGACCUUGUCUCUACAUAAAAUACAAAAUAGGGCUGGGGAUGUGGCUCAGUGGUCAAGUGCCCCUGAGAUCAAUCCCCAGUACCAAAAAAAAUAAUAAUAAUAAAUGAAGUAUGUUAGAGCAAGUGAAAAAGAAAUCUUGUUAUGAAUCUUUUGGUUGCAACAAGUAGAAACCAAAGGCUGGGGGUGUGGCUCCCUGGUAGAGCACUUGCCUUAACAAGUGUGAGGCAGUGGGUUCGAUUCUCAGCACCGCAUAUAAAUAAAGUCCAUUGAGAACUAAAAAAAAAGUAGAAACCAAAACUAGAUGAAGCAAAGGAAAAAAAAUAUCCUGAGAAUACUAGGGAGACAGAUGAAAUAUAAGGGAGAACAGUAUCAAUAAUAAACCUCUCUAUUUCAAACUAUUUCACAAAGAGAGCAACCUUUUUUAAAGAGACCAAAGGUUAAUUCAGCAUCUACCCCACCAAUACUUUUAUAAAUGUAAAGACAAGAAAAUAGUUUAGGAGCCCAGGCUGCUGUAGACCUCUCAAUAGAGUUGCUAAAGAGGCCACCUUGAGUUUCUGAGCAGUUGAGUUAUCGCAGUGUUCUCCAAACUCACAAACUCAGUUUAAAAUUCCUAAAUUCCAGUCAGGUGCAAUAGCACAUGCCUGUAAUCUCAGCAACUUGGGAGGCUAAAGCAGAAGGAUCGCAAAUUCAAAGCCAGCUUCAGCAACCUAGUGAGGCCCUAAAUAAUUUAGCAAGACCUGUCUCAAAAUAAAAAAGAGUUAAAGACAUAUAGCUCAGUGGUUAAGGACCCCUGCGUUCAAUCCCCAGUACCAAAAAAAGAAAAAUAGGACAGAAUCUGAAGGAUCAGGCCUGGGGCCCAGAGCAUGAUCAAUGUGGCAAGAAAAACAGGCAGGGUCUCUGAGUACCCUUAACAGGACUACAGAUUUUUGAAUAAUUUUUUUUUUCUUUUUUUGUGUUGUUUUGGGGUUCAGGGCCUUGUGCAUGUGAGGCAGGCACUCUACCAAGUGAGCUAUAUCCCUAGCCCCUUGAGUAAUUUUUUUAAAGGAGAGCAAAGGUUAACUCAGCAUCUACUCCACUAAUACUUUUAUACAUGUAGAGAUAAGAAAAGAGCAUAUGUUGAUUCCCCAGUGCAGCAAAAAAAGAAAGAAAGAAUGUUAAAGGGGAAAAAUAGGUCAGUUUCAGAACAGCAUGAAGAAUCUCCGCAGCUGAAGAAGGCUGGUUUAAAAAAAGGUAGGAAAAGACAAUGGGAUAGGUUGAAGUAUCAAUCUAUAGACACUAUCAUGAUAUCAUACAACAGACUUAGGAAUUUGUCCCUAGGCCAUUGAAGGUCUUAACCCUGGGAACAAUAUCUUAAAAUUUCAGUCUAAUAAAACCAGCAUUAAAAUAUCACUAUUUAAAGAAGAAACAGGUAUCAGUAAAGCAAGAUUGGAAAGCCAUUAGAGGUCUGGGUGUAUAGGUCUGUGGUAGAAUACCUGCCUAGGAUGUGUAAGGUCCUGGGUUAGAUCUCUAGCACCAAAAAAAAAAAAAAGCCACUUGGAUAAUUCAGUCAUGAAAAAAUAGAUUUCUAGUAAAUAUACCAAUAGGUAAGAAUACCUGGGGCUGGGUUGGGGUUGUAGCUCAGAGGUAGAGUACUUGCCUAGCAUGCGUGAGGCACUGGAUUCGUCUAUCCUCAGCAUCACAUAAAAAUAAAGUAAAGGUAUUGUGUCCACCUAUAAAUAAAUAAAAUGUUAAAGAAAAAAAUGUUAAAAGAAAAAAAGAAUUUACCUUAAUGAGUUAUUCUCACUCCAGGGGUGUACAUAGAUACAGUAUAGCUCACAAACAGUGAAUCACUUCCUGUGGUCCCACUAUUCUUACCAGAACCCAAAGAAAGAAAUAAGGGUUAAAGCUGCACAUGGUGGUGUAAUGUCUGUAGUUCCAGCUACAGGUUGAGACAGGAGGAUUAUUUAAACCCAGAAAUGGAAACUAGCCUAGGCAACAUAGUGAGACACUGUCUCAAAUAAAGGGGGGUAGAGUGUUAUAUAUGUGUGUUCAAAUGUUUGUGCAUGAGAGAUUUUACUUUUAUAAAAUGUAUAUUUAUGUAAAAAUGUUCAGUGAGGCUAGGAAAAUUGUUCAGUGGUAUAGAGAUUGCCUAGAAUGUGCAAGGCCCUGGGUUAAAUCCCUAACACCACAAAAACAAAU
rnacentral:lncRNA from 1 species